rnacentral:rRNA from 1 species
GCAAGUCGAACGAGAAAGUGGCUUCGGUCAUGAGUAAAGUGGCAGACGGGUGAGUAAUACAUAGGUAACCUACCCUAGAGAUGGGGAUAACCUUCCGAAAGGAGGGCUAAUACCGAAUGAGACCACAGUAACUACGGUUACAGGGGUCUAAGGAUGGCCUCUAUUUAUAUGCUAUCGCUUUAGGAUGGGCUUAUGCACCAUUAGCCUGUUGGUGAGGUAACGGCUCACCAAAGCUUUGAUGGUUAGCUGAUCUGAGAGGUUGAUC